GGAUAGAGGUAGUAACUGGCCUUUAUUUGACGGUAAUCAACCAGAAAGUCACGGCUAACUACGUGCCAGCAGCCGCGGUAAUACGUAGGUGGCAAGCGUUGUCCGGAUUUAUUGGGCGUAAAGCGAGCGCAGGCGGAAAAAUAAGUCUAAUGUGAAAGCCCUCGGCUUAACCGAGGAACUGCAUCGGAAACUGUUUUUCUUGAGUGCAGAAGAGGAGAGUGGAACUCCAUGUGUAGCGGUGGAAUGCGUAGAUAUAUGGAAGAACACCAGUGGCGAAGGCGGCUCUCUGGUCUGCAACUGACGCUGAGGCUCGAAAGCAUGGGUAGCGAACAGGAUUAGAUACCCUGGUAGUCCAUGCCGUAAACGAUGAGUGCUAAGUGUUGGGAGGUUUCCGCCUCUCAGUGCUGCAGCUAACGCAUUAAGCACUCCGCCUGGGGAGUACGACCGCAAGGUUGAAACUCAAAGGAAUUGACGGGGGCCCGCACAAGCGGUGGAGCAUGUGGUUUAAUUCGAAGCAACGCGAAGAACCUUACCAGGUCUUGACAUCUAGUGCAAUCUGUAGAGAUACGGAGUUCCCUUCGGGGACGCUAAGACAGGUGGUGCAUGGCUGUCGUCAGCUCGUGUCGUGAGAUGUUGGGUUAAGUCCCGCAACGAGCGCAACCCUUGUUAUUAGUUGCCAGCAUUAAGUUGGGCACUCUAAUGAGACUGCCGGUGACAAACCGGAGGAAGGUGGGGAUGACGUCAAGUCAUCAUGCCCCUUAUGACCUGGGCUACACACGUGCUACAAUGGGCAGUACAACGAGAAGCAAGCCUGCGAAGGCAAGCGAAUCUCUGAAAGCUGUUCUCAGUUCGGACUGCAGUCUGCAA
rnacentral:rRNA from 1 species